CAAAUAAACAUUCUGACUCAAUGUCUCCAUUUUGCAGUUUAUCAGUGGUGACUAUGUUUGGACCUUAGACUGCGCCCUUCAUAAAGGAACUUCUUUUUUUUUAUUCAGGAUUGCAAAGCCCCAGUAUGUGUCACAGAAAGCUGUAAACUCUCGAGGAACGUGAAUGGGGCUGCUGGAUUCUUGUGUUUCUCUCAGAAAAUGAACCCCUUGAGCAAGUACAGUACUUCGAUUGUCAUUAACUCAGCAAAACAAAGUUCCAAGAGGUCAGCAGGUAUCAGUUGGUAUCAGCUCUGGGCUUUCGGACAGGACACCCACGGGUUUCUGGAGAAGAACUAUUUGCCUGAACAAGGAUUGCAUCCCAUGCAGUGCACUACAGGAAGCUGCUGAUUCUUGCACUUGGAGCUGGGACAAUGCAGCUUAAUCAGACUGACAGGAAACAGACAGCAAUUACAGAGUACCGCUGCAUCUGCCGGGUUCCACUCCGCUGGUGGAAGAAUUAUUUAAACUGCACUUUGGCUUUGCUGUUUUUUUCAACUCAGCUGUAAUCUGUUUACCUUCUGUCGUAUUCUUCUUUUUUUCCACACAACCUGAUUUAUUAGCAGCUCUUUCGCUCAGAAUAAAAUUUCUCUCCCCAUCUACAUGUCAUCCCUUA
rnacentral:lncRNA from 1 species